AUCUGGCCUUUAAAAAAAAAUAAAAAUAUAAAAGUAUAAAAUAAAAAAUAAAAAUUUAAUUUCAAAGCAAUUUUCGAUUUACAGAAAAAUUGCAAGCAUAGUAGAGAGAGUUUCCAUAGGCCUCACAUCCACUGUUUCCUGUUAUUAACAUCUUAUGUAAGUAGAGUACAUUUGUCACAAUUAAUGAGCCAGAUACAUUAUUAUUAACUAAAUUCCACACUUGCCUUUAAUCAUGCCUCUUUAGGCUCCUUUUGGUUGUGACAGUUUCUCAGACUUUCUUGGUCUUUGGUGACCUUGACAGUUCCAAGGAACACUGUCACCUAUUUGUUAGAAUGCAGAG
rnacentral:lncRNA from 1 species